GCUUGGACUAAUACCGAAAAGAAUUGUGGCACAAAUGGAUAAUUGUGAAGAUGUUGAUGCUGGAUGUGAGUGUGUCAAGGGAGUGUGUAUCUACAUGGGUGAAGACCCUGGCAUGCUUAUCCGGGAGUAUGUGGGCAUGGAAGAACGUGCCAUCAAUGAGACUGUUGAAGACACCACUGUUGGAAUUUAUCUUAAAGAGCA